rnacentral:lncRNA from 1 species
AUUCCCCGCUAUGGCUUGCCUCGCUCCAUAGGGUCGGACAAUGGUCCAGCUUUUGUGCACAAAGUUUUGCAGGAGAUAGCUAAGCUCUUGCAGAUAAAUUGGAAGUUACAUAGUGCAUACCGACCCCAGAGUUCUGGAAAAGUAGAGAGGAUGAACAGGACUUUGAAAAAUCAACUGUCCAAAUUGACACAGGAGACAGGGUCCAAUUGGGUAGCGAUGUUGCCCCUCGCCCUGCUCCGGGUUCGAAGUCUCCCAUCCAAGCGAACCCAUCUCUCUCCCUUUGAACUGAUGUUUGGGAGACCUGUUCCCUAUGUACGCAUGAUUUCCCCCACCCCGGUCCAGGAUGUUGAAACAGAUCAUUAUGUGCAGUCACUCUCCCGCACUUUUCUUUCUCUCAACAGGUGGACCCAGGCUCGUACCCCGUGUGUGUUAGUCGAACCCCUACACCGUUUCGAGCCGGGCGAUGAUGUGUGGGUAAAAGACUGGGCCCAAACUCCGCUACAGCCUUGCUGGAAGGGUCCCUACACUGUGCUUCUCUCUACACCCACUGCUGUCAAGGUUGCUGGCAUCGCCCCUUGGGUCCACCAUACUCGUGUGAAGGCAGCAUCUUCAGACUGGACUGUGUCUCCUAACCCGCAAGAUCCUCUUCGGCUGACCAUCUCCAGGCGCCCGACGGACGACUGCCCUGCUGCUGUCACUCCGGGAAGCUGAUAGCUCUACGCACGGCCGAAGAUAAGGAUGGGAGGGGUACCCAACGCCAGUACCCCCAACGUUCCUGAUAGCCAAGCCCUUCCCCACGCCCCUAUCAUGCCUGAUAUGUGGUGGGAGGAGUCCUGGACUCCCGGGGCUUGGUGGGCUUGGGUUCUGUGUAUGCCCCUGAUUUUCUUGAUGCUUUUGUAUUUCUGCUGGCAUGAACGCCCCCGUAUGUGUGGUAGGCCCCCUGGUGCUUUUACUGCUUCUCUGCUUCUGUAUUCCCUGCUUGAUGCAAUGCAUGCAGAAUAUGAUGGAGAAAAUGAUGUCUCGCAUGAUGGGCCCCCGUGUGAUAGCUUACCUGAGGGAGUAUCGCCCUAUCCCUGUUGAUGCACCUGGCGGUGAUCAAGAAGAAGAGGAGGGAGUGAAGGAAGAGGAGUGAAGAGAUGGGGGG